UGGCGGGAAAACAUGAUUUUUUUUUUUGUUUCGGCGGGAAAAUUUUAUUUUUGGUUUUGGCGGGAAAAGAUGAUUUCUCGGUUUUGGUGUGAAAACAUAGUUUAUCGGUUUUGGCGGGAAAACAAAAUUUCUCGGUUUUGGUGGGAAAUUGUGAUUUAUGGGUUUAAGCGGAAAUUUUUUUUUUUACGGUUUUGGUAGGAAAACAAAAUUUUAUAAUUUUGUUGAAAAAGUAAUUUUGUAAUUUUUGAGAGAAAGUGUAAUUUUAAAAUAGGCUUGUACAUAUAUUCUUUC
rnacentral:lncRNA from 1 species